CUCCGCUCCCGGUUCGCCUGUUUUCCCUCUUGCGUCCUUUGAUUGCAUAUGCGGCAAGGUGUUCGACGCGUGCUGUUCAUGCCGCGUGCGUGGAAUGCCGUGAGAGUGGUGACCGCGACUGCUGCUGAUUUUGAUUAGCUUCUGUGUUUGCCAUUGGAUUGGAGAAUUGUGAAUCUGCACAUCCUUGUGGUUCAAGAUGGCCGUGCUUGGACGAGGGGAUACAUAUGUUGCGUUCGAUCUCAGGCUGCAAGUGGGAUGUUCCGCAGGAGCCCGCAAACACGCCCACAUCUGCCCCGUAGUAUUAGUGGGAAUCCAGCAUAUGUCCACAUAAUUUUUCACGGGAUAAGUGGGCAUCCCACAUCCCACGUAAUCCCUAUGUAAAUCACAGGCUCAAGCUUAUAUUUUCUGUUUUGCAAUGGACAUGGAAGGAGCAGAGAAGUUCAGGCUUCAUUAUAUCAGCUCAGUGGUUCGGCGGGCGUCGCUUCAGUAGAAGAAUCACAUCGAAAAUGAUUUUAGAAGUGCCACUGUUAUAAGAUCAAAAUAAGAGGUGAGCAGGGUGCAAUCUGCUUGCUUGCAGCUGAUGUUCCUUGAAGCAGCGAGCUUCUUCAUGGCGUUCUUGAGAGAAGAAGAAAUCAAGGAGGAUUGGAUGAGGAGGGAAGAUACCACAACCGCUGACUCGCAUUAUCAGGCCACAGAUGAUACGUGAUUCAACAGGGUAGAAUGAAUCGGCUUUGCUCUGAACAAUUUAGAGGAAAUUGGCUGAAGAUGUAGUAGUCGAUAGGAAAUAAAUCACAGAUGAGAGAGGGGAAGAAGAAGACUGAACUGCACCUGUACAUGGCGGAGGUUGACGACGACAUUACGGCGUCCAUGGCGGAGUUGGACAGCGGCGCUGGGCGGCCAUGGGGAAGGUACACGGCGGCGCCGCGGCCAUGGCAGCAUGUCAUAAUCGGGCUAAUCCGCACGACUGACGUUCGACUCAAAAGGGAUGUGGGUUUGAUGUGGGCGCUGCGGGACAUCCCACAUAAUCCGCAUCUCUCGGUGCUCUAACUGUGGGUGUCCACGAUCGUAAAUUAUGUGGGCUUGGACGUGGGCACCGCGGACAGCCCGCGUCCACUUGCAGCCUGAGUUCCAUCAGAAACAUCAAUUGUUUUGUUGCUUCAUGCAAAUUUUCUUUGCAUAAUAUUGUUACUGGCAAUCAGGACGAGGUGGGACCGUGGGAAUGAUGAUUACAUUCGCGUA